rnacentral:rRNA from 1 species
GAUCCUGGCCAGGACGAACGCUGGCGGCGUGCUUAACACAUGCAAGUCGAACGAGAAUCUACUGAAGGAGGAUUCGUCCAACGGAUGUAGAGGAAAGUGGCGGACGGGUGAGUAACGCGUGAGGAACCUGCCUUGAAGAGGGGGACAACAGUUGGAAACGACUGCUAAUACCGCAUGACGCAUAGGGGUCGCAUGAUCUUUAUGCCAAAGAUUUAUCGCUUCAAGAUGGCCUCGCGU